GAUGAACGCUGGCGGCGUGCCUAAUACAUGCAAGUCGAGCGAACGGACGAGAAGCUUGCUUCUCUGAUGUUAGCGGCGGACGGGUGGGUAACACGUGGAUAACCUACCUAUAAGACUGGGAUAACUUCGGGAAACCGGAGCUAAUACCGGAUAAUAUUUUGAACCGCAUGGUUCAAAAGUGAAAGACGGUCUUGCUGUCACUUAUAGAUGGAUCCGCGCUGCAUUAGCUAGUUGGUAAGGUAACGGCUUACCAAGGCAACGAUGCAUAGCCGACCUGAGAGGGUGAUCGGCCACACUGGAACUGAGACACGGUCCAGACUCCUACGGGAGGCAGCAGUAGGGAAUCUUCCGCAAUGGGCGAAAGCCUGACGGAGCAACGCCGCGUGAGUGAUGAAGGUCUUCGGAUCGUAAAACUCUGUUAUUAGGGAAGAACAUAUGUGUAAGUAACUGUGCACAUCUUGACGGUACCUAAUCAGAAAGCCACGGCUAACCACGUG
rnacentral:rRNA from 1 species